GCCGGGGUGGCGAAAUUGGUAAACGCACGGGACUUAAAAUCCUGCGGGCUUAGCCCUUGCCGGUUCGAGCCCGGUCCCCGGUA
rnacentral:tRNA from 1 species